UACGUAGGGGGCGAGCGUUGUCCGGAAUCAUUGGGCGUAAAGCGCGUGUAGGCGGUCCGGUAAGUCCGCUGUGAAAGUCGGGGGGCUCAACCCUCGGAUGCCGGUGGAUACUGUCGGGCUUGAGUACGGAAGAGGCGAGUGGAAAUUCCUGGUGUAGCGGUGAAAUGCGCAGAUAGUCAGGAGGAACACCCAGUGCGCAAGGGCGCUCGCUGGACGGGUCAACUUACGUGCACUG
rnacentral:rRNA from 1 species